AUUGAACGCUGGCGGAAUGCUUUACACAUGCAAGUCGAACGACAGCACGGGGGCAGCCCUGGUGGCGAGUGGCGAACGGGUGAGUAAUACAUCGGAACGUGCCCGGUCGUGGGGGAUAACGUAGCGAAAGGUACGCUAAUACCGCAUACGAUCAGAUGUUGAAAGCGGGGGACCUACGGGCCUCGCGGGAUCUGAGCGGCCCAGGUCAGAUUAGGUAGUUGGUUGGGUAAGGGCCUACCAAGCCGACGAUCUGUAGCUGAUCUGAGAGGACGACCAGCCACACUGGGACUGAGACACGGCCCAGACUCCUACGGGAGGCAGCAGUAGGGAAUCUUGCGCAAUGGGCGAAAGCCUGAUCCAGCCAUUCCGCGUGAAGGACGAAGGCCUUCGGGUUGUAAACUGCUGUUGUACGGAACGAAAAGGCUCUGGCUAAUCCCUGGGGCUCAUGACGGUACCGUAAGAAUAAGCACCGGCUAACUACGUG
rnacentral:rRNA from 1 species